UGCUGCCUAGUUAGGCACCUCAGUAGGGUUUGAGACGCAGCCAAUGUUUUUAACGUUUACAAAUGUUUCAAAAUCUCAUCAACAGAGUGUCUGCUCACAUCUGAACGAGCACAACCAACGCAAGCGUCACAGAUCUCAGGAAUGUCUUGUAAACCGCGCGACCACCCUCUUGUUGCAGGAAAGACAAAGCGCGUGCUGCGAGAGGACAGCGCCGACAGAAACACAAACACACACUGUUCCAUCGACAGCCGAACAAAACAGCAUUCUCCGCAUCUAAACAAAGACUGCAGAGGGAAAAGAGCGCAGCCAGAGCGCGCCCAGAGAGGAGAGAGAGGAGAGGAUGUGCUGUCUGCCGGUGGAGCAGACUUUAGGCGCGCUCGGAGAUUCCGUUUGCGCGCACCGACUGCGCUGGAUCGGAGACCAGCUGGAGAAGAGAUGGGCUGCAAACGACAAAAGCUCCGACGGUGGAAGACGAAGCGGCGGGGAAAGCAUCAUCAAAAGCUUCCACAUAGUGUGCACAGUCAUUCAAGUAACGCUUCUGGUGUUUUUAGUCAAAAAGCGACACCUGUAGGUGAGACGAGGCUCUGCUGAUCUACAGCGGCAACAGAUGAAUCUUCAGAUUCUCCUGGGAUGAUCCGCUCCAGAUUUACCAGAGAGGAGAAGGUGCCGGUCACGUCUGCACGCUGUAGAAACUUGCCAUGCAAACAGUGGGUCGAUGUUUUCUCAUCCAUGUAGGUCACAACAUUUGCAGUAGUGUUGUAACGGAAACACGCACACACCAGACGCAUCCGUGCUGUACAUUCCAAGCAUGCUGAUCUAUUUUCAUAAUGACCAAUGCUUCAUCCCGAAGUCUUCUUGAUCACCGAAACACCACAAGCCGAUUUCAUUCGGUACACGUUUGCUUGGUUAGAAGUCUUAAGGUCAGUGCAGUCAAACCCAGCAGUGUGUCUCCUGGGAAACCUUUCAAAAUAAAAGGCUGAUGUCAUUGUCCCCUGGCGUUUGCAAGGACAUUUUUCUACCACUAUGGCAAUAGGAGCCUUGCCUCAACUUUGAUGAGUUUACAGCUGAGUUUUAGUCAUUGUUGGUAAAAGUUGAGAGGGUGCUUUGGAUAUACAAAUGCUGAUUAAAACACGAUCAAUCGUGGUCAGUCUUCAGAGGAGAGCUCCCAAAAACACUGCUACCAAAACCUCUCCUCUGCAUAAUGCACUGUAUAAGAUUUAGUUAUAAGCUACUGUAAGUGACUAUGCCAUUCAAUAUCUGAGCUGUGAUUUUGUUUUGUUUUUGUUGUUUUUAUGAGAUAUUUAUUACUUCUUUAGUUCUUAACACUGUACUCUUCUCAAUGGAAAGCAUAUUUAUACUGUAGAAUGAUUUGAAGUGUAUUUGAACUUGAAGACAAAUCAUUUUUAGACUGUUUAUAAAGGGCUUCUGGCUUGAUUGUUUGUGUCAGUGUUAAUACAGAAAUGUGACAUGAAUGAGAUUUCAUGCGAAAUGUGAAUUAAAGGGCAUGCUAAUGAUGUUUACAUAAGCUACAAUCUUUUACUACUACGUGUUUUAAACAUGUUUUACCUCUGCUAUUUUGAUAUUGUGAAUUUUGUCAUUUAUGAAAAUAAAAGGCUUUAAAUAUAUACACAGGGAAGUCUUUUAAAU